rnacentral:lncRNA from 1 species
GCAUAUAUACAUGCACACAUCACAAAAUUAAUGUUUAGUCACUAAUUACUCAUCGAAAUACCACAUUGGAAGAUGUCUUGGGAUCUAUAGUUGACAUGACAGCGUAGCCUUUUCCACUGUUUAUCUGUCACAAAUAUAAUUUGUUAUUGAACACUAAAAAAAUGAAGAAAAAAAAACCGACGGAACAGCUACCGGAUCUAACACUAUAGUUAUUGUGAUCUUACAAUUUUU